CAUCCGUUUAUCUUCCCCUGACAAAAAA
rnacentral:sRNA from 1 species